AUUGAACGCUGGCGGCAGGCCUAACACAUGCAAGUCGAGCGGAUGAAGAGGGCUUGCUCUCUGAUUCAGCGGCGGACGGGUGAGUAAUGCCUAGGAAUCUGCCUGGUAGUGGGGGACAACGUUUCGAAAGGAACGCUAAUACCGCAUACGUCCUACGGGAGAAAGUGGGGGAUCUUCGGACCUCACGCUAUCAGAUGAGCCUAGGUACGAUUAGCUAGUUGGUGAGGUGAAGGCUCACCAAGGCGACGAUCGUUAACUGGUCUGAGAGGAUGAUCAGUCACACUGGAACUGAGACACGGUCCAGACUCCUACGGGAGGCAGCAGUGGGGAAUAUUGGACAAUGGGCGAAAGCCUGAUCCAGCCAUGCGGCGUGUGCGAAGAAGGUCUUCGGAUUGUAAAGCACUUUAAGUUGGGAGGAAGGGCAGUAAGUUAAUACCUUGCUGUUUUGACGUUACCGACAGAAUAAGCACCGGCUAACUUCGUGCCAGCAGCCGCCGUAACAC
rnacentral:rRNA from 1 species